rnacentral:miRNA from 1 species
UCACAUUUGCCUGGACCUUUUU